UAGGGAAUCUUCCGCAAUGGACGAAAGUCUGACGGAGCAACGCCGCGUGAGUGAAGAAGGAUUUCGGUUCGUAAAACUCUGUUGUUAGGGAAGAAAAAAUGUAUAGUAACUAUAUACAAAAGAGACGGUACCUAAACAGAAAGCCACGGCUAACUACGUGCCAGCAGCCGCGGUAAUACGUAGGUGGCAAGCGUUGUCCGGAAUUAUUGGGCGUAAAGCGCGCGCAGGUGGUUUAGAAAGUCUGAUGUGAAAGCCCACGGCUCAACCGUGGAGGGUCAUUGGAAACUAAUAAACUUGAGUGCAGGAGAGAAAAGUGGAAUUCCUAGUGUAGCGGUGAAAUGCGUAGAGAUUAGGAGGAACACCGGUGGCGAAAGCGGCUUUUUGGCCUGCAACUGACACUGAGGCGCGAAAGCGUGGGGAGCAAACAGG
rnacentral:rRNA from 1 species